GGGAAGGUGGGCUGUGGGGGUUUUGUUUCUUUGUGCCAUUUAUUGUUUUAGUAUUGGGGUUAAAUACAUUUUGAUUUGGGGGGCGGAAGACAAACUUAGUCCUAGACUCUGCAGAGAGUAGGAAUGGAUCUGAUGGUGAAGCUUGGACAAACUCUGUAUUUGGAACAGAGAAAGGAACGCAGACAACAGAACAACAGAGUGAGGCUGAACCAGGGUUACCUAACAUUUAAAAUAAAAGGUCUGUUAGGAACGGAAUGUUCCGUUUGUUCUAGUGUUCGGGGGACACGUUUCAGAUACUAGAACCAUUCAUUCAGUAUGCAAGAGCUCUCUAGCUAACACUGAGCCCAUCAUUAGACCCACUACAACAAUCAGACUAUCUUUACUGAUGGCCUGUCCACGAAGCCUUGUGUGUGUCCGACACCAGGCAGCACGGUAUACAAGCCUCGUGUUGGCGGUGAAAGAGAGGGGAGGAAGUGGGAGACUGAUAGGAAUAGAGAAGAGAAAGUCAGUCAGUGACAAACGGUAUUUGUGUGAAUGUCUCAAAAGAGUUAAAACCAGAUUGUGGUGUUUUAUAGUUUACUAACCAGGCAUAAUGUGUGUCUACUGUCAGUGGGGCAGUCUUAGGCUGUGUCCCCCAAAUGAUACCCUAUUCCCUAUAUAGUGCACUACUUUUGACCAGCGUCCUAUGGACCCUGGUCAAAAGUAGUGCACUGAAUAGGGAAUAGGGCGUCAUUUUGGACGUAGUCUUUACAGUAGUAGUUGUGACUGGGCCCUAUGCCAUUUAAGGUGGGUAAAGUGAAAGUGGAGUUGAGGUAGAAGCCAGGGCUAGUGGAGGCAGAAGAGGAGAGGUCAGGGGACUCUAUCUCCAACACAUGGCAGUAGUACUGUGCUGCUGGGUUGAGGUAGAAGCCAGGGCUAGUGGAGGCAGAAGAGGAGAGGUCAGGGGACUCUCUAUCUCCAACACAUGGCAGUAGUACUGUACACUGUGCUGCUGGGUUGAGGUAGAAGCCAGGGCUAGUGGAGGCAGAAGAGGAGAGGUCAGGGGACUCUCUAUCUCCAACACAUGGCAGUAGUACUGUACACUGUGCUGCUGGGUUGAGGUAGAAGCCAGGGCUAGUGGAGGCAGAAGAGGAGAGGUCAGGGGACUCUCUAUCUCCAACACAUGGCAGUAGUACUGUACGCUGUGCUGCUGGGUUUGACCAACAAGUGACUUCCUCAUCACCAAUGCUGGUGGUUCAAGCCCAGUUAUUUCAUCAUCUGCUUAAUGCUGCCCCAGUCUCUUUAAUGAAACCACCUGUGGCUUUUAGUGCAGGUUUGUAGCUUGUUCUAAAGUAGCAGACAGUCUCACCACUCACAAUGCAGACAAAUAAAUAGUUGGUUCCAUCAUUAUUAGAUUUAUUCGACAUGAAUGUUUUAGUUUUUUGGUUGAUGUCCUUCUGGUCUUUUUGGAAACCUUACAAAAUGUUGUAAUGAUAGAUGAACAGUGUCCGUGUCUUUCUCGUUACCUGACAGUGUUGUAGACAGUAAAACUGGUCCAAUCUGUGGACAACAGAAUAGUUCAUUAAGCCCCAUAUCCUUUUCAAAGCAACUGUACAAAACCAUUACCUGGGGUGAAACAUGUUUAAAACUGUAGAAAAGUGAUUUUUAAUACACACUCAUCACCUUAACUACUGAUUAGCUUACAGGGACUGCUAGAUCUAUCGCCUUCUGCUUAGCGCUUCAGUCGUCUCUCCUCACUGUAAACAUGUCUGCUACGGGAAAUCACUUGAAAACAGAUGGUAGAUUCUCAAUCAUUUGUCUUUACAGAGUGACUAUGUUGUAUCCUGGAUAUUUAAAACCGUUUAAAAACAGUUGGUUUUCUUUGUAAAACGUUUUGUGGAUUGAACUUUUGUUCUUACUGGAGGCCCUCAGUACAGCAGUACGGUACUUACUGGAGGCCCUCAGUACAGCAGUACGGUACUUACUGGAGGCCCUCGGUACAGCAGUACAGUACUUACUGGAGGCCCUCAGUACAGCAGUACGGUACUUACUGGAGGCCCUCAGUACAGCAGUACGGUACUUACUGGAGGCCCUCAGUACAGCAGUACAGUACUUACUGGAGGCCCUCGGUACAGCAGUACAGUACUUACUGGAGGCCCUCGGUACAGCAGUACAGUACUUACUGGAGGCCCUCAGUACAGCAGUACAGUACUUACUGGAGGCCCUCAGUACAGCAGUACAGUACUUACUGGAGGCCCUCAGUACAGCAGUACAGUACUUACUGGAGGCCCUCAGUACAGCAGUACAGUACUUACUGGAGGCCCUCAGUACAGCAGUACAGUACUUACUGGAGGCCCUCAGUACAGCAGUACAGUACUUACUGGAGGCCCUCAGUACAGCAGUACAGUACUUACUGGAGGCCCUCAGUACAGCAGUACAGUACUUACUGGAGGCCCCCUCAGUACAGCAGUACAGUACUUACUGGAGGCCCUCAGUACAGCAGUACAGUACUUACUGGAGGCCCUCAGUACAGCAGUACGGUACUUACUGGAGGCCCUCAGUACAGCAGUACGGUACUUACUGGAGGCCCUCAGUACAGCAAUACAGUACUUACUGGAGGCCC
ensembl:lncRNA